AUUACUCUAAUCUCAAUUUAUUUUACUUUAGAUCAUUGUGUGAUGAAAGCAGUUAUCCAAAAAGUUCUCCAGAUGGAAGGAGUGCCAAGUCAGAGUACCAGUGGAUAACUUCUCCAUCGUGAAGGAACCAUCCAAAGCUGCUAGACAGAAAAAGAGAACUCUAAUUUGGGGAAGUGAUCGAAAAGGAAAAGCUACGAUUAGAGCUUGGCUGCAAAGCAACCUGUAAGUAAUGGAAUGAAACACUCUGCUGGUAAAGAAUGUUAUGGUCCUGAACCUCUACCACCUGGUGUGUCUGGUUUCUGGCCGUGGCGUACUG